rnacentral:rRNA from 1 species
UACGUAGGGGGCUAGCGUUGUCCGGAAUCAUUGGGCGUAAAGCGCGCGUAGGUGGCCUCAUAAGUCCGCUGUGAAAGUCAAAGGCUCAACCUUUGAAAGCCGGUGGAUACUGUGAGGCUAGAGUACGGAAGAGGCGAGUGGAAUUCCUGGUGUAGCGGUGGAAUGCGCAGAUAUCAGGAGGAACACCAAUAGCGAAGGCAGCUCGCUGGGACGUACUGACACUGAGGCGCGAAAGCGUGGGGAGCGAACAGG